rnacentral:rRNA from 1 species
UACGUAGGGGGCAAGCGUUGUCCGGAUUUAUUGGGCGUAAAGAGCGUGUAGGCGGCCAGGUAGGUCAGCUGUGAAAACUCGAGGCUCAACCUCGAGACGCCGGUUGAAACCAUCUGGCUAGAGUCCGGAAGAGGAGAGUGGAAUUCCUGGUGUAGCGGUGAAAUGCGCAGAUAUCUGGAAGAACACCAGUGGCGAAGGCGGCUCUCUGGGACGGUACUGACGCUGAGACGCGAAAGCGUGGGGAGCGAACAGG